UGAAAUGCGAAAAGUAAUGCGAUUUGCAUGAAUCUGUGAGUCAUCAAGUCUUUGAACGCACCUUGCACCAUGUGAGCAAUUGUAUGGUAUACCUGUUUGAGAAUCGUAAAAACCUCUUUCCACCGCAAGGCGGGAGAUUUGUCGGUUGUGCCCCUCACGGGGUACUCUGAUCAAAAGCAGUAGGUCCGGAUCAGGCUAGUGGCCUGGGACAUUGUGUGCUAGAGACGUUCGCCUUGUGCCUACAGUCUUCUCACAGUGCGUCCUAGGCCAUCAAGCUAACCUGGUCGAUCGGGUCUGUACAGUGAGUGAGCGCUUUGCUCAUGACCAACCCCCACUUUUGAUCUCAAAUCAGGUAAGGCUACCCGCUGAACUUAA
rnacentral:misc_RNA from 1 species